CAAUACUUCCAUUCUUAUUCAACUAGAAUAGGCUAUUCAUGCUUAUGUAAUCAUAUACGAGACCUAAUAAAUCUAACUACAAAUCAUUUCUCGACAAUCAUGGAAAGAUUUGGUACAAUAUUGUCAUUCGUAUUAAUCGUAAGGCAAAUUAGAUGUUCAGACAUAAAAAAUGGUUUAGAUUUGAACAGUAUGUCGCUAUUCAACAGCAAAGAAUUAAAUCUAGCUGAUAUUUUUGAAAUGGACUUAAAAUUACCAAAUGGGUUACCAAAAGUUGACAAUGUAGAUCAAAAUGUAAAUAAAGAUAUCAGCCGAAAAAUAAUUAAGCCAGAUGUCACGGAGCUAAUGUCAAGGAGAAAGGAAGAACAAGAACCAAAACACCGUCUAACACUGCCAAAACAAGUUGACAAACCCAAUUACAUGACGUAUCCAAUACCAGUUUAUCAAAUGCCACCAAUAAUAGUGCCCGCCAGAGCAUAUUUUGAGCCAGUGCAUCAUGAUCAUCCUUCACCUAAUACAAUACGGAAAAUGAUAAGGAAUGAUAAAAGAAAAUUAAAGAGAAGAAAGUACAUCAGUAGCUACGAGUACUAUGAUAGCUAUGAGGAUUCUUAUAGUGACGAUAGUUCUGACUCUUAUAGAUAGAUCUAGAUGGUCUUCGAAGUGCUUAAAAUGUGGCUCAACAAUUCUGCCACUGUCAGGUGAUCAGAAGAGAGAUGUGGACCGGAAAAGAGAAUUACAAAAUAAAGACAAGAACUGUGACAUAGAUAUUAAUAUAAUGUAUAAGAAACAUUUGGUUUUAUGUUUAUAUCACAGCGACUUAGUUUAGUACACUAAUCUCAGAUUAUUAUGUGCCAAUCCAAGAUUUUCAAUGAUUAAAACUUUUUGAGUCUGUU